UAUGCCUAGCCGUAAACAUUGAUAGAAUUCUACACCCUCUAUCCGCCUGGGUACUACGAGCAUCAGCUUGAAACCCAAAGGACUUGGCGGUACUUUAGAUCCCCCUAGAGGAGCCUGUUCUAUAACCGAUGACCCCCGUUCAACCUCACCCUCCCUUGUUUCUCCCGCCUAUAUACCGCCGUCGUCAGCUUACCCUGUGAAGGUCUAAUAGUAAGCAAAAUUGGCACCGCCCAGAACGUCAGGUCGAGGUGUAGCGCAUGAGAGGGGAAGAAAUGGGCUACAUUCGCUACCAUUAGCGAAUACGAACGAUGCACUGAAAACGUUCAUCUGAAGGAGGAUUUAGCAGUAAGUGGAAAAUAGAGUGUUCCGCUGAAAUCGGCUCUGAAGUGCGUACACACCGCCCGUCACUCUCCCCAAGCUUAUUACUACACAUAUAUAAAACGCUCUAACUGCGAAGGGGAGGCAAGUCGUAACAUGGUAAGUGUAC
rnacentral:rRNA from 1 species